UACGGGAGGCAGCAGUGGGGAAUAUUGCACAAUGGGCGAAAGCCUGAUGCAGCUAUGCCGCGUGUAUGAAGAAGGCCUUAGGGUUGUAAAGUACUUUCAUCGGGGAGGAAAAACAAAACUAAUAAUUUUAUUUCUUGACGUUACCCGAAAAAGAAGCACCGGCUAACUCCGUGCCAGCAGCCGCGGUAAUACGGAGGGUGCUAGCGUUAAUCAGAAUUACUGGGCGUAAAGAGCACGUAGGUGGUUUUUUUAAAGUCAGAUGUGAAAUCCCUGGGCUUAACCUAGGAACUGCAUUUGAAACUGAAAUACUAGAGUAUCGUAGAGGGAGGUAGAAUUCUAGGUGUAGCGGUGAAAUGCGUAGAUAUCUGGAGGAAUACCUGUGGCGAAAGCGGCCUCCUAAACGAAUACUGACACUGAAGGUGCGAAAAGCGUGGGGAGCAAAACAGGGAUUAGAUACC
rnacentral:rRNA from 1 species